rnacentral:rRNA from 2 species
GCUGACGACAAUAGCGCGAUGGCCCCACCUGAUCCCAGAAGUGAAACAUCGUAGCGCUAAUGGUAGUGUGGAUUCGUCCAUGUGAGAGUAGGUUAUCGUCAGCU